ACCGUCAAUUGUAUUCAGAUCCCAACAGGAUCAGGUCCAAUGCCUUUUAAGAGGAAGAGGAGUUUUCUAAGAAUGGUAGCAAAAGACAGUGUUCUCGAGCACAGAACUGCAGAGCAGGGAAGGAUGCAAGGUUGGCUUGGAAGCGGGGGCGCCACUGAAAAACGAAGUGUGUCGCACCUGAAGGAAAGUGCACCAAGUUAAUUGAAAAGCUUCAGGAAACGGGAAUUCCUCGCAGUGAUACCGUCACAUGCGUCAGUCACCAGAUGUAAACCGACUCAUUUACAA